CAGGAAAUAGUUUAUAAAAAUAUUAAUUUUGGAGAUUAAAGAUGGGAAUUUUCUCUUUCCUGA
rnacentral:tRNA from 1 species